ensembl:rRNA 5S_rRNA 5S ribosomal RNA
GCCGGCAGCUGUCUCUCAGCAACUCUCACAUGGUUGCCCACUGAAGCUAAGCAGGGCUGUGACAGGUCAGAACUUGGAUGGGAGACCACAUGGGACAGCUAGGUUGCUGCCGGAA